GAUCUACACAAAUUAAACACGAAUCUCGGUUACAAAAUAUCCGAGCCUUCAAGUACAUACAGUUUCCCCGAGAGUUGGAGUUUCUAUCAACCGUCGUUUCGUAAACUGCCCGACGACAAUACGUUCCUCUCGCCGCCCCUCGCGAAGUAAGGGGAACGUGGAAAGUAAUCAGUCGUUAGCGCCAUCACCCGACAGCGGACACGUUUAUCGAUCUGAUUAUCGAUCGUCGCGAAACAGUCGCUAGGUCGGUAAAUAUCUGCACCGCCCUUAUCCUGCGAGGGGUGCCUAAGAAACGCGACUUUAUCAAAAAGUUAGGUUACUUAAUUAACAAGACUCGAUUUCCCGGCGAUUCAUUUCGACUAUUUCGAGGCGCUGCCUCGUCCGAGAGUGUUUGACGAAUUGUCGAGAGUUAAUCCAAUAUAACAGCACACGGGAGAUAAGCUCAUCCCACGAAUAUCGUUGUCAGAAAAAUUGUCAAGAGAUGACAUACAUGUAUUUACGAAAGGUAGAGAUGCCCGAAAAUGGCUUUAGUCUGCACUUACUGGAAUCGUGCGACUUGAUCAAAAAGCUAGGUUACUUAAUUAACAAGACUCGAUUUCCCGGCGAUUCAUUUCGAGGCGCUGCCCCGUCUGAGGGUGUUUGACGAACUGUCGAGAGUUAAUCCAAUAUAACAGCACACGGAAGAUAAGCUCAUCCCACUUUAGCGACUUCGGAAGAAAGGAAGCACGAACGCGCGCGCGCGCGCGCACGCCCGAAGUUAUUACAGGAACAGGAAGUAACGUCGUUGCCAUUAACACGUUUAUCCAAACGACCGAAGUUGAAUACUGAACAUCCGCGAUAAUGGAAAACGCGGUCUCGGCCUCUAGACUCGGAUUCCGAAUACUUACGAAUGAAACAUGAUAUUCAUCCACCGAAUCAUAGAACAACGGCACCGCAGGGAUGGUUGUUUUUAAGUACGCGUCCGCCCAACCUACCGGCUCGCGGUUGAACGUCGUCGACCGAUCGAUCGGUCGAUCGAUCGACCGUCGUCCUAUCGAGAAAAGCCGCGCGAAUCUUCGGAGAGCAAUCGAAAUAAUUUUGCUUUGUCCGCAAAUGGGAAUGGGGAAACGGGAAUGGGAGCGAGUUGUCGAGGGGGUUCGAUCGAACAGUGGCUCGGAAACUCUCCUCUCCCUCUCCCUCUCUGCCCCCUUUCAUCCCCUUUCAACCCCCCUCUUACACGUCACACGCAGUACGCUCGCGUACACGUUUUGUUCCUUACCGACAUCGGCUCUAUUGCCGCUAUUUAUUGGCCCGUGAAAAAAAAAGAAUAAAUGUAACGUCAAAAACAAUAAAAUGGAAAUGCAAUACGCCGGACAUCUCGCUGCGAGGUACACACAUACGCGGUUUGAACGCACGGAUUUCAAAUUUUCCGCGUGCUAUCGACAGAAUACGCCCCGGUCUCAUAAAUAUUCAUAUACGACACGAUACGCGGGUGUAUCAUUGUGUUUCCGCGUCCGGGCCACGAUAUCGUAAUGACAGCGGUAUAAUAAUAAUAAUAAUAAUAACAACGGGCGCGGCAAUAGGGCCGUGUGAUAAUCGGAUUACAAUCCUCCCUGUGUAUUACGGAUAUACGGGAUUUUUCAGCUCCGGACAAUGAACCGAUUCUGAUACAGCGCGCGUUUCUUAAAAGAUCGUCCUUUUCCUAUUCGUGAAUCAUGAAAAAAAUAUGAGUUCUAUAUGAGAAAACUUUGAGCGAUCCACACGACCGCUAUUUUUCAAUUUUCUUUUCUGCGAGAAAUGAAAAUGUAAAAAUAAAUAUACGUGUGACGUAUGAAUUGUGCCCUCGAGUUGAAUGACAGCGGGAUAUUUCCCCUAGGAAAAUCAGACUUAUCUAAUAACAUGCAUGAUUUAUUAUUAGAUUAUCUUGUUCUCGUGGACAUCAUGAAGAAAAAGAUGAUGAAACUUUACAAUUCUCACACAUACACACACGUACAAUAUGGAAAAUAAUAGUAUUAAAUUAAAAUCACUGGCGUAGGAUAACUGUUCUCCAAAUUACUGCCGCUUUUGUUAACAGUAGUAUAUUAAAAUAAAAAGUAUGUUACGUAUUAAAAAUGUUUUAAUGUUAAACUAAAAUUAUCAACUGAACAUAAAUUUUUAUUUCUUUCAUUAUACUGAAAUAGUCUUCAAACUUGUUACUUUUAUUUUGUGUAUAAAGUAUUAAAGUUUACUUGAAUGAUGAUAAAAAAAGAAUGUUUAUUAUGUUUAAAAAAACUACAAAUUAAGCGGCCGUAAUUAAGACAAGAUGAUCCUAGUCUACAAAUUGGAUGAUCUUGAUUCAGAUAUAAAUGUUGCAGCCAACAUUUGUAUCUUGAAAAAAUUUUACAAUACUUAAUUCAUGUUUCCCA